rnacentral:rRNA from 1 species
GACGAACGCUGGCGGCGUGCUUAACACAUGCAAGUCGAACGGACAGGCCCUACGUUUGUGGCGUGCUCGAGAGGCGAACGGGGGAGUGAAACGCGAGUAACCCGCCCCUGACAUAGGGAGAACAUUAGGAAACUGGGGCUAAUACCGGGUAGGAGCUCCUGCUGCAUGGGGGGGGAUGGAAAGUUUCGGCGGUUUGGGCUGGACUAGCGGCUUAUCAGCUUGUUGGUGGGGUAGUGGCUGACAAGGUCUUUGACGGGUACCCGGCAUGGGAGGGUGGCCGGCCACCAUGGUACUGCGGUACGGCCCAGACUCCUACGGGCCGCAGCAGUGGGGAAUCUUGCACAAUGGGCGGAAGCCUGAUGCAGCAGCGCCGCGUUCGUGAUGACGGCCUUCGGGUUGUAAACCGCUUUCGCCUGUGACGAAGCGUGCGUGACGGUAAUGGGUAAAAAAGCACCGGCUAACUACGUG